rnacentral:lncRNA from 1 species
AGAUGGAUGAAGUAUGAAGCAGAGAUAUUUGCUCCUGGGAGUUUCUGAGUAUAUUCAGGACAGGGAUUUUGGAAGCAAUCCCAACCAGAGAAAGAGCAGGGAGUUCUUGAUUUUUGGAUGAGAAGGAAACAAUUAAGUUGAAUUCUGCUGGAAUCUCUCCAUACAAUGGAUGCUCCACACAAGGCAUUGGCUGUGAAACAGAACAUCAGGCAUUGCAUGACAUCAGGUAGCACAUUUCUGUUUAUUUGCCUUUCUUCAAGAACUCUAACUCACUGUUGGGCAAAGGAGUGCAUACAAGAUGUACAAGAAAAGGUUAAAAGAGACUUUAUGGUCUUUAUGGUGAAAUAUCACCAUAUUCUAUGGCAUGAAGGACCACAGCCUCUUUUUUUUUUUUUUUUUCUUUUUAAAAGGAUAUGGUUCUGUGUUCUGGCUGAUGUUUUACAGUUCAGAGAACAACUUGCCCUUCUACAGGAAUCUCUUGAGAAAAUUAAUAGUGAACACAGUAUUUUACUAGGCUGUAUUACUGAAUAA